GUGGAAGGAGGACUUCCUGUGGUUACGCCUUCUUCCUGCUCUGCAUCCUGCCUCUGAUUCUCAGUGGAUGGAUUGUCCCAGAAGAAGCACAGGCAGAGCCUCUCCAGCUGAGAUCAAGCAAGCUGCGCGCUUCCUACCAGGCCUGGCCUUGGCCUGCCUGCUCAUCCCGCCCCCGUGCUCCCUGGGAGCCACAGAGGACCGGCAGCAGACUUCUUUAGGGCCGGCCGCCUUCCCUCAGGGAAUGAUGGAAGGAGAAGACAGACUGAGCCGUGGGGAAGACACGACCCGGUGCACUCCUGUACUGCAGCAAACCCACAUUGGACACGGGAUAGGAAACAGUUUUCAAGAUUCCCAGUGAACGUGGGCACAUCUGAAACUGAGCAUCGAGGAGAACCACACCUGCUCCCGACCCAGCCACCAUCGCUCAAGUGCCGGGAGGUAGGCUGGGCCCUGAUUCACCGCGGAAAGGAGACCCACGCCAGCUCCCGACCCAGCCGCCAUCGCUCAAGCGCAGGAAAGGUAGCCGCGCGGGUGCCCCUGAACCCCCAUAAGCCCGCCCCUGCACUCUUAGACCUCCUGACUGUGCCAGUCUUUGGACCCACUCUGCAAAGACAGAGGUAGUCAUCAAGGGUAUUUUUCUGAGUCCCCAACUUUGAACAUCUUCA
rnacentral:lncRNA from 1 species